CCUAACAUCUAUCUGCCAUUACCCAGCUGUGUUUCAUUCCAGCCACAGUUACAUCCCUUGUCUUAUCCAAGCCGGAAUCCGUCUUCUCACCAGAUAUCAUACUUAGGAAAUAUCUGUGCAUUCUUAGUGUUUAUGUAAAACCGUUUUUGUAGAAUUCUGGUGAAACGGCAGAAAUAGGCUUACGUAUGGUUUGUUUUCACCAGAGGAUGUGUGGGGAGGAAAACCCCUAGUGCAAAACCGGUGUUCUGAGGUAGGUGUAGGGUAGGGAUUUCACCGAUUGUUGGUCAAUUUGACCCUCCUUGUGCUGGGGAGUAGGUGCAACAGUUAGGAUGACUCCAGGUUAGUGGGGCAUUGCGUUGAGUUGUUCGGAGCUGUGACGUUUCAGCUUUAAGUUCCGUAAGUGCUGUGAACCAGUGUACCAUUAGAUGUAAAGCAUCAAGAAAGUGUGCGUUAGUGCUGAGACGUCACGCCACCCUAGAUUUGGUGUGCGUGUUUAAUAAGUAACGUUUCUGAACAAGGCAGUUGUGUAAACACUUCAAAAUCGCUGUGUAUAGUAAUAUUUUGUGCGCUGUUCAAUAUCCAGGAUUGUCAGUAUCUGGUGUAGUAAGUGAAAAAUAAGUGAGUACUGGGUUUCGGUUUAUUGUAAUGCACAUACUAGGUCUUUAACCCUCUCAAUACCAUGACACGUCUUCAUAUUUAUUUAGUUACUAUUAGGCGAUUUUAUUCAGCUUCAGAGAUGCAUGUAGGGAUUAUAAUGAACCUCCAUGGAACCUUGCAAUUUAAGUAAAAUCGUGUAAUCACACCCAAAACUCAUGAUAAAAGUGCGGCCCGGUAUUGAAGGAUUGCAUUUCAUUUGAGGCUGCAUUUUAUUUUAGGCUAGACACUGAUUAUAAUCAUAUUGUGGAAUUGUGCAAUUGCCCCUAUAUCAUAGAAGAGGUCUUAGAUUUGGCAUAAUUACUAAUGACAUGACAGAAGGUGAAGGAUGUUUCUGGAUUGACGAUUGAUAGCUUUGUUGCAGUAGUGUAUGCAACGGAGAAGGUUGGGUCAUGCUGGCCACACUCUAAACAUGGGGCAAACAAACUUCUGAGAAGUCUUGGCAUCCUGCUCCUCCUCUCCUCUUCCUCGUCUGUGUCCAUGUGAUAGUUUAUCUCAGGUCUGCCUCCGCAGAAGAGGAUGCUGUCCGCUGAGGCUUGCGGUCUGGCACAGGUCCUGCCACUACUGUAGAGAGAACCAAACCAGCGUGUCGUCUUCUUUGGAUCCGUGUCACUUGGAACGCUUCCUAGGGGGGUCUCCUUUCACCGUCUGCAAACCACCCAAAGCUGAGCCCUGAAUCUGAGGUGUUUACUGUCUCUGCCCAACACCUGCUGCCAAUCUACUUUUUGACUCGACUGUAUGCCAUCACAUUUCCACUCUCAGGUUUUUGUGUGUUACUCAGUGUUGUUCCCUGUCCUGCUGCCUGCGCCACUCACCACCUCAUAACAAUCCCCAACCUGCAGCAGGAAGCUGGAAGACGCCUACUGUCCUGGUGCACCUUCCACGAAGGAAUUGGACCCUGCCUAGCACCUGCUUUCCCUGACAGUUGUCAUGUAGGAAGGAGACACGGCCUCGCUUCACCUUCCAUGGAGGAAGGAAUUGGACCCUGCCUAGCACCUGCUUUCCCUGACAGUUGUCAUGUAGGAAGGAGACACGGCCUCGCUUCACCUUCCAUGGAGGAAGGAAUUGGACCCUGCCUCGCACCAGCUCUGCCCUGACACGUUCCCAUGCAGGUGAUGCCUUCAGGGAGGGAGGACUGCCUCUCUGCACCUUCCAUGGAGGAAUUGGACCCUGGCUCGCAUCAGCUGCCCUGACAUGUAAUGUCAUCCAAGGAGGGAGGACGCUGCCUCGCUGCACCUUCCACGAUGUUAGGAGAGUGGCUCGCUUCAUCUAACAUAACCUAACCUAAGCAAUACAUGUUGCCAUCACUUGUAUAAAAUGUUAUUCCUUCUAUCUUGUGUGAAUGUAUGUACCCACAGAAGUGCAGUGUUAUUAUUCCUUCCAUGUUCUGUUAUGAACCCCAUGUAAAAUGUUAUUUCUUCUAUCUAAUGUGAAUGUGUAUCCACAGAAGUGUGAUGUUAUUAUUCCUUUCCAUGUUUUAUGUACAGUGCUAUUAUUCCUUCCAUGUUCCGUGAUGUACCCAUGUAACUCGUGUUAGUGCUUAAUAAUAAAUCAUAAUUAAGAAAAUUGA